rnacentral:rRNA from 1 species
CAGUAGCCGCGGGAAUACAGAGGAUGCAAGCGUUACCCGGAAUGAUUGGGCGUAAAGCGUCUGUAGGUGGCUUUUCAAGUCCGCCGUCAAAUCCCAGGGCUCAACCGUGGACAGGCGGUGGAAACUACCAAGCUGGAAUACGGUAGGGGCAGAGGGAAUUUCCGAUGGAGCGGUGAAAUGCGUUGAGAUCGGAAAGAACACCAACGGAGAAAGCACUCUGCUGGGCCGACACUGACACUGAGAGACGAAAUCUAGGGGAGCAAAUGGGAUUAGAUACCCCCGUAGUCCCUGUCUCUUAUAU